UACGGCGAAAUCACGUUGAAACAUUGGUUUUCCUACGAUCACCGAAGUUAAGCAACGUCGAUCCUGGUCAGUACUUAGAUGGUUGACCACUCGGGGAUACCAAGUGC